UAGCGGACGAAGAAAAUCUUCAAACUUCAAACAUUGCUUGUAACGCAACGAUCCCAAACCAUGAAUUCUAAAGUGUUUAUUUUUGCCAUUUUAGCAGCUGUAUUAUUUGUGUCCAUAUCUUCCGCGCCAAACGCCGUAGUGACAAUGGAUAAAGAUGGAAAAAUCGUAGUUGUUAUUCGCAAAACCCGUGGCGCCAUCGCUAAGUGCUUUGACAUUUCUCAUGGAUCGAUGGAAGAAAUUGGUCACGAUUGUCACUAAACCGAAGUUCGAAAGUUAACGUAAGCCGGAAGUUUUGUAAACCGACACUGAACAGUUGAAUACUUCAUUAAAAAUAUGAAACCACAUUAUUAUAAUCCAUAAUAAAACCUAGGGUACAAG